CAGAAUCUUGCUUUAUUGCCCAGGCUGGAGUGCAGUGAUAUGAUCAUAGCUGACUGGAGCCUCAGCUUCCUGGGCUUAAGAGAUGCUCCCACCUCAGCCCUCUAAGUAGCUGGGACUACAGGUGCACAACACCACACCUGGCUAAUUUAAAAACAAAAAUUGCAGAGACAAAGUCUUGCUAUGUUGUCCAGGCUGGUCUUGAACUCCUGGCCUCAAGUGAUCCUCACUCCUCAGCAUCCCAAAGUGCUGGAAUUAAAGGCAUGAGCCACCACACCCAGUUCAAGCUCAUUAGAAUGAAAGAUGCUUGUUCUGUUCUGUAAAGUCUGGAGGAAAAUCGAGUUGAUAAAGAAGAUUUCACACAAAUAUUUAUUUUAUCACUCCCUGAACAUUUGAAAUAAAGAUGUGUGGGAAUUAAUGAGAUAUGAAUGUUCUCAAGUAUCCGGAAUUUUUUUUUGCUUCUUCAGAACAACAGUUUCAGUGGUUCUGCCAUUGGUUCUCAGCAAGAUCUACCUGGAGAUAUUUUUUAAAAUACCAACAUCCAGGUCCCAUCCUCAGAGAUGCUGAUUCAUUUGGU
rnacentral:lncRNA from 10 species